UACGGAGGGUGCAAGCGUUGUUCGGAAUCACUGGGCGUAAAGCGCGUGUAGGCGGCCUUCUUAGUCUGGUGUGAAAUCCCGGGGCUCAACCUCGGAACUGCCUUUGAUACAGCACGUCUCGAGUCCGGAAGAGGUGGGUGGAAUUCCUAGUGUAGAGGUGAAAUUCGUAGAUAUUAGGAAGAACACCGGUGGCGAAGGCGGCCCACUGGUCCGGUACUGACGCUGAGGUGCGAAAGCGUGGGGAGCAAACAGG
rnacentral:rRNA from 1 species